rnacentral:rRNA from 1 species
GCCUACAUGAAGCUGGAGUUACUAGUAAUCGCAGAUCAGAAUGCUGCGGUGAGUGCGUUCCCGGGUCUUGUACACACCGCCCGUCACACCACGGAAGUUGGGGCGCCCGAAGCCACUUAGCUAACCCUUUUGGGAAGCGAGUGUCGAAGGUGAAAUCAAUAACUGGGGUGAAGUCGUAACAAGGUACC